rnacentral:rRNA from 1 species
UACGUAGGGUGCGAGCGUUGUCCGGAAUUAUUGGGCGUAAAGAGCUCGUAGGCGGUCUGUCGCGUCUGCUGUGAAAUCCCGAGGCUCAACCUCGGGCUUGCAGUGGGUACGGGCAGGCUAGAGUGCGGUAGGGGAGACUGGAAUUCUUGGUGUAGCGGUGAAAUGCGCAGAUAUCAGGAGGAACACCGGUGGCGAAGGCGGGUCUCUGGGCCGAUAUUGACGCUGAGGAGCGAAAGCGUGGGGAGCAAACAGG